UACAUAUAUUUAUUGUAUUAUUUAUAAGUUAAAUUUAAUAAAAAAAAUUCAAUUUAAUAGAAAAUAUUUUAUUUGAAUGAAAAUGAUAUUUAUUUGUUUAUUAUUAGAAAAAAUAUAUUAAUAUAUAACUAUGAGUCGGUUCGUGUUCAGAUUACCCAUGAGUAGUUGGUUCGGAUUCAGGUUGAGUAUUUUGAUCCACUAGCAUGGGAUAACAUCAUAGGAUUUCGGUCAUAUUACGUUGGCCUUCGGGAUCGGAGUAAUGAUUAACUGGGACAGUCGGGGCAUUCCUAUUUCAUAGUCAGAGGUGAAAUUAUUGAAUUUAUGAAAGACGAACAACUGCGAAAGCAUUUGCCAAGGAUGUUUUCAUUAAUCAAGAACGAAAGCUGGGGGCUCGAAGACUAUCAGAUACCGUCCCAGUCUCAACCAUAAACGAUGCCGACCAGGAAUCAGGGGAUGUUGCUUUUAGGACUCGACUGACACCUUAUGAGAAAUCAAAAUUUUGAAUUCGGCGGGAGUAUGGUCGCAAAACUGAAACUUAAAGAAAUUGACGGAAGGGCACCACUAGGAGUGAAGGCUGUGGUUUAAUUUGACUCAACUCGGGGAAACUUAACAAACUGCGAGCUCUUUCUUGAUUCUAUGGGUGGUGGUGCAUAGCUGUUUUUAGUUGGUGGAGCGAUUUGUCUGGUUAAUUUCGUUAACAAACAAGAUCUCAACCUGCUAACUAGCUAUGUGGAGGUACAUCUUCACGGCCAGCUUAUGACCUUUUAGGCCACAGAAGUUUGAGGUAAUAACAGGUCUGUGAUAGUCGUAAAUGUUCUGGGCCGCACGCGCAUUACACUGAUGUAUUUAACGAGUCUAUAGUGUUGAUCAACAGGUCCGGAAAAUCUUUGAAAUUUCAUCGUGAUAGGGAUAGAUCAUUGCAAUUGUUGAUCUUAAAUGAGGAAUUUCUGGUAAACACGAGUCAUUAACCUGCGUUGACUACAUCCUGCCCUUUGAACACACCUUCUUCGGAUUGCGGCGACGUGGGCGGUUAGGAACGAGU
rnacentral:ncRNA from 1 species